GUGCCAGCAGCCGCGGUAAUACGGAGGGUGCGAGCGUUAAUCGGAAUAACUGGGCGUAAAGGGCACGCAGGCGGUGACUUAAGUGAGGUGUGAAAGCCCCGGGCUUAACCUGGGAAUUGCAUUUCAUACUGGGUCGCUAGAGUACUUUAGGGAGGGGUAGAAUUCCACGUGUAGCGGUGAAAUGCGUAGAGAUGUGGAGGAAUACCGAAGGCGAAGGCAGCCCCUUGGGAAUGUACUGACGCUCAUGUGCGAAAGCGUGGGGAGCAAACAGGAUUAGAUACCCUGGUAGUCCACGCUGUAAACGAUGUCGAUUUGGGGGUUGAACUUUGUGUUUGGCGCCCGUAGCUAACGUGAUAAAUCGACCGCCUGGGGAGUACGGCCGCAAGGUUAAAACUCAAAGGAAUUGACGG
rnacentral:rRNA from 1 species